rnacentral:rRNA from 1 species
GACGAACGCUGGCGGCGUGCUUAACACAUGCAAGUCGAACGAUGAAGCCGGAGCUUGCUCUGGUGAAUUAGUGGCGAACGGGUGAGUAACACGUGAGUAACCUGCCCUUGACUCUGGGAUAACUGCGGGAAACUGUAGCUAAUACCGGAUACGACCCUCGGAGGCAUCUCCUGGGGGUGGAAAGAAUCUCCGUCAAGGAUGGACUCGCGGCCUAUCAGCUAGUUGGUGAGGUAAAGGCACACCAAGGCGACGACGGGUAGCCGGCCUGAGAGGGUGACAGGCCACACUGGGACUGAGACACGGCCCAGACUCAAACGGGAGGAAGCAGGGGGGAAUAUUGCACAAUGGGCGCAAGCCUGAUGUAGCAACGCCGCGUGAGGGAUGACGGCCUUCGGGUUGUAAACCUCUUUUAGCAGGGAAGAAGCGAAAGUGACGGUAACUGCAGAAAAAGCACCGGCUAACUACGUGCCAGCAGCCGCCGCCG